rnacentral:piRNA from 1 species
UUACUUGUAUGCAGUGAGGUA